rnacentral:rRNA from 1 species
AUGUUCAGCUGCACACUCACACUCGCACUCACACUAUUGUAUCAACAUAUUGCCGUCAGGAUAACCAUCACAUUGCAAAAUAAGGAAGACCUCAAGCGAAGAUUCACUUGCCAGACAGCAAAAAGCGACUGGUUUAUCAUGAAUGUUGGACCACUCAUCGAACCAUUAAACACACGACACGGCAAUACAAGCAAAAUUACAAAAGGCUACAUACUGCCACAUACACAAGAUUCAGUGAACCACAUUUUAAAGACAGAAUACCAUAGCUGCAAUAUGCCUGAUGUACUCCAAAGAACUGAGAACCCCCAUGAUAUUAUUAUCGUUCAAAAGGGAGGCACUAUUCAGGCACAUACAAUAAGCAAAAACACUACAACAAGAGCAAGAGAAUUAAAGGGAACAUGA